GAGGAAUUUGGACAACAAUAUGAAAGAUAUUUGCAAUAUUAAAAUGCUCAAAAACCUAACAGAAUAUAAAUAAUUGCUCACCUAAUCAACUGCAAUUCUCCAAGAUUUCAGGAUAAUGUUUCUAGAGGAACUUGAUGAAUUAAGACCAAGUUCAUCGAUAGGAUGCUUUAUUACCUCUUGCCAUUCUCACAAUGGUAUAGAGAGACCAAGUUAUUGGUCCUACGACAAUUCUCCGACAUUAGACAACAAGACAAUCGCUGAAGCUGUUGGAGACUGGUUUUUCGAUAGGAGUGGGUUUCAAGGGGUUUAUUAUCCCUAUCUAUGUGUCAAAUUUUGCCUCUACAUGUGUUCAUGUUGUACUUCUAUUUCAGAUGUUUGUUUGGUUAACAAGUAAGAAUUACUAUUAUCUAUUGUUAAAUGUAAACUACCUCUAGUACUCAUGUUAGAAGAUUUAUUUUUACUUGUUUGACUUCAACAUAUUUUAAGCCCUUAUUAAACUUUGAAUAAAAGCCAUAUCUGGGGCAAGAAUCAAUGUCUAGCUAUACCAAGUUUUCAAGUUCAU